rnacentral:rRNA from 1 species
CCUGCCAGUAGUCAUAUGCUUGUCUUAAAGAUUAAGCCAUGCAUGUCUAAGUAUAAAUAGUAUACAGUGAAACUGCGAAUGGCUCAUUAAAACAGUUAUAGUUUAUUUGAUAAUUGAAUUCUACAUGGAUAACCGUAGUAAUUCUAGAGCUAAUACAUGCGAUUAAACCUGACUCUUGGAAAGGUUGUAUUUAUUAGAUAUCAAACCAGUAGUCUUUCGGGAUUAUUGUGAUGAUUCAUAAUAACUGAUCGGAUCAAGGAGUUCCUUGAUAGAUCAUUCAAGUUUCUGCCCUAUCAGCUUUCGAUGGUAGUGUAUUGGACUACCAUGGCAGUCACGGGUAACGGAGAAUUAGGGUUCGAUUCCGGAGAGGGAGCCUGAGAAACGGCUACCACAUCUACGGAAGGCAGCAGGCGCGUAAAUUACCCAAUCCUGAUUCAGGGAGGUAGUGACAAGAAAUAACAACUCGGGCAUUUUUUAAUGCUUCGAAUUUGCAAUGGGAAC